rnacentral:rRNA from 1 species
GAUGAACGCUGGCGGCGUGCCUAAUACAUGCAAGUCGAGCGAACAGAUAAGGAGCUUGCUCCUUUGACGUUAGCGGCGGACGGGUGAGUAACACGUGGGUAACCUACCUAUAAGACUGGGAUAACUUCGGGAAACCGGAGCUAAUACCGGAUAACAUUUGGAACCGCAUGGUUCUAAAGUGAAAGAUGGUUUUGCUAUCACUUAUAGGUGGACCCGCGCCGUAUUAGCUAGUUGGUAAGGUAACGGCUUACCAAGGCGACGAUACGUAGCCGACCUGAGAGGGUGAUCGGCCACACUGGAACUGAGACACGGUCCAGACUCCUACGGGAGGCAGCAGUAGGGAAUCUUCCGCAAUGGGCGAAAGCCUGACGGAGCAACGCCGCGUGAGUGAUGAAGGGUUUCGGCUCGUAAAACUCUGUUAUUAGGGAAGAACAAAUGUGUAAGUAACUGUGCACGUCUUGACGGUACCUAAUCAGAAAGCCACGGCUAACUACGUG